CCGGCGAGUUACGAUUUGAUGCAAGGUUAAGCAGUAAAUGUGGAGCCGUAGCGAAAGCGAGUCUGAAUAGGGCGUUUAGUAUUUGGUCGUAGACCCGAAACCAGGUGAUCUACCCUUGGUCAGGUUGAAGUUCAGGUAACACUGAAUGGAGGACCGAACCGACUUACGUUGAAAAGUGAGCGGAUGAACUGAGGGUAGCGGAGAAAUUCCAAUCGAACCUGGAGAUAGCUGGUUCUCUCCGAAAUAGCUUUAGGGCUAGCCUCAAGUGAUGAUUAUUGGAGGUAGAGCACUGUUUGGACGAGGGGCCCCUCUCGGGUUACCGAAUUCAGACAAACUCCGAAUGCCAAUUAAUUUAACUUGGGAGUCAGAACAUGGGUGAUAAGGUCCGUGUUCGAAAGGGAAACAGCCCAGACCACCAGCUAAGGUCCCAAAAUAUAUGUUAAGUGGAAAAGGAUGUGGCGUUGCCCAGACAACUAGGAUGUUGGCUUAGAAGCAGCCAUCAUUUAAAGAGUGCGUAAUAGCUCACUAGUCGAGUGACACUGCGCCGAAAAUGUACCGGGGCUAAACAUAUUACCGAAGCUGUGGAUUGUCCUUUGGACAAUGGUAGGAGAGCGUUCUAAGGGCGUUGAAGCAUGAUCGUAAGGACAUGUGGAGCGCUUAGAAGUGAGAAUGCCGGUGUGAGUAGCGAAAGACGGGUGA
rnacentral:rRNA from 1 species